UGCAGGCUUUUCCUCUUCUCUGGUCGCUGCCCCCUCUGAUGUGUGGCCUUCAGUUCAGCAGGCUGGCUGGCAGCCUGUGAUGCGGCCCUGCUCAGAAGAUCCCCACUUCUGUUGGGUCUCCUGGCUCCUGGGAUUCUUCAGCCUCCUUGGUGUCUGGAGCACUGGGGCCAAGAUUUCUGGAGCACAUGAUUCUGGAACUAAGGAUUCUGGAGCUCAUGUUCUUCUGAAGGAGAUCCGAGGAGGUUCUGUCUUGUUUCACGUGAUCGUGAAGCCAGAAGUAAAUCCCGGAGAGGAAAUGCAGGAGAUUGCGUGGAGCUUUGGCUCUGAGCCAUCCUACAGAGUCAUGCUGCAUGUCCAUAAUGGGGCAGACUCUCCAACAUGGGUCAGUCUCCAAGACAAGUACAAGCAGAGGGUCCAUGUGCCCAAUAUGACAACGCUGAGGAUUGAGAACCUGACCCUUGAGGACAGUGGGCAGUACCGGGCACGAGUCAGCUUAAAUGAAGGAAGAGAAUUUAUCCAGGUGUUCCACCUGAUAGUCUAUGAGCCUGUCCCCCUCCCCCAGAUCCUGGUCCAGUCACGGUCCAUCACACCAGGCUGGUGCAAUGUUACCCUAGAGUGCAGGGCCCCAGGGGCCAGAAAGAACCUGAACCUGACUUGGGAGAGCGAGAUCUUCCCCAAGAACCAGGAGCAGAGAGAAACUUCAGGAUCUGGCACUAACUCCUGGACCCUGGCUGAAAGGCUGCCCCUGAGCCAGCCCAAUGCCAGCCUCACCUGUGUGAUCAGCAACUCCGAGGACCAGAAAAAUGUCACCUUAGACCUGGGGAAAGUCUGCUUCCUUGAGAGGGAAACAGGACUGGACGGGGCAAGCUCCCUGGGAAUCAUCCUUGGGGCUUUCAUGGCUGUGCUGGUGACACUGGUAGCUGGACUGUUCCUCUGGAAGACAUGUGGAAAGAAGAAGAAGAUGGAGACUGGAAGAGGUCCAGGUUUGCAAGAGGCCUGCAGGGACAAUGAUGGUGACCUCCACUAUGCAAUGCUGAGCCAGCAGGAUCCUCCGAAGGGCAAGAAGGGUAUCCGUGGGCAACAUAUGGAAGAAAAGAGGACUGUCACUACUGUCUACAGUGAAAUCUGUAAACCAGGCCAGUGAAAUCUGUAAACUGGAGGAGGCAGGAGAAUCUGGAACUCCUGGGACACCACCACUCUGAGUCUGUCACCCUGCAGUUACCUGCCUUUCUAGCUGUGGUCCAGCUCCUGAGGCCCACGGUCUGUGUUACCCUGACCUUCCUGACCACAGCUCCCUGCACACAUGUGACCCUGUCCUUUCCUCUGCUCGCCUGUCCCCUCCAGCCUUCCCCAGGCUGCCUGCAUACUCAGGAUGCUCAGGAUUGUAGGUAUAGAAGUAAUCAGAAGAACUUCCACGAACUCCAUCAUCAGACCUACCCACCGCCCUGCAUCUGAAAGAGUACGUUCUGCCUUUGCCCUUGUGACUUUGAACAAUCUUGGUUCCUGUAAGUCUGGUGCUCCUCUUGGGCUCCAGAUUCCAUUGUUUGCCUAUGCGGUAUCAUCACUCCCCAAAUUCUACCCUGCAUUAGCUGUUUUAAAAAAUCUACACUGGAUUAUUCUUAUCAGUACGCAGGCAUACUGUAAUUUCUCUCAUUAAAAGAAUCUUAUAAACUCAACUCCCUUCUAGUACUGUCCCAUUUCUCUGCUUCAAUUUAUAGCAAAAUUCCUGAAAGACUUACAUAUAUUUCCUCUUUCCAACUUCACCCUUUUUCUCUGGAAUUCUCUCUAACCCUGCACUUCCCCCAGCGAUCCACUGACAUUGCUCUUGUCCAGGCCUCCCAAGAACCCCAUGAUGCUAAAUCCAGUAGUCAAUUCUCAGUCCUCAUCUUCCUUAACUUCUCAGCAGCGAUUGACACAUUGAACACUCUGCCCAUGAAACACCGUCUUCACUUCACAUUCAGCACUCACCAUUCUUUUCCUCCUAGUCCCUGGGUGCUCCUGAGUUUCCUUUACUGGUUUCUUUCUCAUGUCUCCCACCUCUACACCCCAGGAUUCAGUUUUCAGACUUCUUCUCUUCAGUAUCACCUAUGUUGUUGUGGGCAGAACAAUAGUUCCCAAAGAUGUCCACAUCCUGAUUCCUGGAUUCUGUCAAUAUGUUGCCUUACAUGGCAGAAGGAGCUUUGCAGACAUGAUUAAGGUUAAGGACCUUUGGUGGGGACAGUAUCCUGGAUUACACAGGUGAGCCCAAUCUAACGACAAAAGUCCUUAAAAGCAGAGGAAGAAAAGACAGAAGAGUGGGUCAGAGAUUUGAUGUAAGAAGGACUCAACCUGCUGUUCCUGACUUUGAAGAUGGAGGAACAGUGGGCCAUGUGCCAAGGAAUGAGGCAGCCACUAGAAGGUGGAAUAGCCCUCAGUUUACAGUCAGCAAGAAGAUCAAGACCCCAUUCCUGCAACCACAUGGAACUGGGUGCUGCCAACUACCUGAAUGAUCGGGAAAUGGAUUCUCUCCUAGAGCUUCCAGAAAGGAGCACAACCUGCUGAAACCUUGAUUUUAGACCACACUGGCCUUGUUGCUAUUUUUUGAAUAUACCAGUCAUGCUUCUGUCUCAAGCUUUUUGCUUCUGCCUGAAAUUCUUUUCCUUCGGGUAUCUUCAUGUCUCAUUUCCUCACCUUCUUCUGGCAUUUGCACGAUUGUUAUCUUCUUAGUGAGUUCUACUCCAGCUCCCUAUUUAAAACUGCAGCUUCCUCCUGGCAUCCUCAUUACUCCUCCUGGCUCUUUUUCUCCAUAGCACUUAUCACAGGGAUGUGAAGGUACAUUUAGUCUGGGCUGUUGAAUACUGAGGGGAAACAGGACUUCAGAGUAAACUGCAAAUCCUGAUAUGCAUAUACCAUUAUUAUUCCCAGGAAACUGCAAACCUCAGAAAUCAAUGAACUUGCCCAAGAUCGCAGGGUUAAUAAAUGGCUGAACUGUGAUUCAGACUUUGGAGUUUCACUCUUGACUAUUGCAUUAUGCAGGUUAAAUAAAUUAUGGUCUAUCCACAUGGCAGAAUAAUACUUAGAUAAUAAAAAGAAUAAGGUGCAUUUUUGUAUAUUUAAAUAGGAAGAUGUUCAUGGAAUAUUAAGUGUGUUAUGCAACAGUAUAUGUAGUAUUAUCCUGGUUUUAUAAAAAUAAAUACACAUAUGUUGAUGUGAUCAUAAAGAAAGUCUAAAAGUUGAUAUGCCAAGCAGUCAACAGCAGUUAUCUUCAGGGUUCUGUCUCUUUUCCUGUAUCAUCAGAUUUUCUAUAACACUUAUAAGAAAUUUAUUAAAAUUUUUGAAUAGGGCACUGGCAUGAUAGAACUGUGUUUUAAAAGAGUAAACCACAUUUAUGCUAAUAGGAAGCUUAUCAUUUUGGAAACCAGUUGAAGUCUUUAUUCUCCUGUUCCCUCUUUCACUUUCUAUUGUGUUCAAAUGACUCCUUAUCGAAAUCAACGCUAAGCAUCUCUGGAUCUAUCUAGAAAGUAUAGACAAAGUGAAAUUUUUGCUGUAAUUGAUUCAGAUGGAGAAUCCCUAUGAAUUGCUCACAAUCCUGGCUGUUCCUCAGGGUUUAGAAAAUUCUGGCCGCACCUUUGAAAAGCACAGAUGCCUGGACCCCACCCUCAAACUGGGCUUCAUCUAUAUUUUUAAAAGUCAGUAGAUGUUUCUGGUGCCUGGUCAGUUUUGAGAACUGAAUCCUUUGGCCUACAUGGAAUCUUUGUAAAAUUCAAAUGGGAACAUAUAUGACAAGGAGGGGCUUAGAGUUUGUCUUCCAAGAUAAUCCUCAAUAUGUCCUCAGCAUGUAGCCCAGAAAGUGUUGAGUGAAGAAACAAGUGAGUGACAUGGCCCACAGGUUGGCAUUACUUUGUAGACUUUACCACGGUUUAAUCUGCCCUUUGGACACUGAGCCUGAGCCUAGAAGCUCCAUCUCAUCUAUUGCUCAGGGUUGGUUUGACUUUUGGAUGCAAAAUCUUGCCAACAAAUCUCAUAAGACACUGGUAGACAAAACCAGCAUGCAGACUUAUUAAUUUACAGUAAGAAACAUACUUGUCAACUGGACUACACGGUCCCAUAGACCUGACCCAAGAAUCCUCUUUCCAAACCUAGGCCACGUAGAAAGCCAAGGUAUCAGUGUGCCUCUUGGUGAGCAGGAGUCAGGACAGGUGGGCAGAUGCUGCUGGUGUGGAUUCCACUGUCCUUGGAGAGCCUGAGCUCUCUGUCUCCUUGGUAGGAUUUAGCUGCCUGGGGCUUAGAGGUCUCCUGCCAGCCUGACAGCGCUACGUUUGUCUAUGUCACUCACCUGUCUGUGGUCUGAUUCUUAUCAGCCCUCCUUCUGAUUGACAUAUUCUUUCUUUAGUCAUGUUCAUAUUUGAAAUUAAGUUUGUGCUGGUCCACAAGUUGGAAUCUCUGUAAAGUGACCUUGUAUAUCACUGCUGUCAAUCCCCCCCCAAAAACAAACCCAAAUCAAACAAACCCUCAUUUGUGAGUUCUUAGUAGAGGGAGCAGAGUGAUAGGAAACCCCUUAAUAUACUCCAUACCACCAGCUGAACCAAUGCACUUGCCCAUACAUCCAAAGAGAAAACCUGUGAACUGGCUAAUGGGAUCCUGUACCUAUUGAGGUUGGAAACUUCACCUAAUUCAUCACUUAGACUUUCAGCAAGAUUCUCCUGUUUUUAAAACAGAAAAAAAAAAAAGAAGAAGUAAAUAAAACAAACAAAACCACCAUCUAAAAGAAUAUAAUCUGUAAUCAAAAUCUAUUCGAUUGAAAAAUCUUAAUGAAAAGGACAAUUUCAGGAAAGUGCAAUUUACUGACAUUGAUUUACACGGGUGUAUAAAACCUCAUGGAACCGACACAGAAAAUAUUGAAAAACCGAUACAAGUGUUUUCUCAUUCAAGGGCAUUCAUUUAUGAGUUAGAAAACUUAACAAAGCACCAAAAUGAAAAUAAAAUCCCGAUCCAGUUCUCGAAUCUGCUUGAGCACCUCUCACUUCCUUCCUUCUGCUGGAAAUUUGACCUUGGCAACCUGGACGCCCAGCUUGCCAAGGAGCGCGAGGAGGAGAAGGCCUUUUGCCAGCAUCAUCGACAGCAACGUGAACAGGAAUUGAGCUCUUGUCCCUGUCGGGUCAGAAGCAGAGCAGACAGUGAGAGGCUUCUGGGGGACUGGAUCCUGGCAUUGACCACAGUCCCUCAGUGAGCUGAUGCUGUAUCAGGGACUCCAGGUCACUUGAUGGUUCUGAGUAAAUUGGGACUUUGGGCUUAGAAUAAUCCUACAUGAUAUUGCCAAAGAGAGUGUCCUAGAAUCUAAGAGUGUCCAUGUUGGAAGGAAACUCAAAGAUUAUGGAGUUCUACCUCUUUUCUGUGCCUUAUAACAACCCCAGUAAAUGACUGUGCACCUGUGCUUACACACCUCCAGUGACAGGGAACUCGCUAUGUCCCCAAAUCGUCUAUUCAUCUUUGGACAAUGCUACGAAAAGUCCCCUAACGUUAUAAGUCACCAGCUUCCCCUCUUGAUAUUAGUUUCCGUGAGGUCACUCAUUGCAAAUGUGAUUCCUCAUCCACUCAGUGGCCCUUCAGGUGGGAUUCAGAGCAGGGGUACACAUCAGGACUGGGGUAGCUUUUCUCUUCCCCAAAGGCCUGCUUUUCCUCACCGUCCCCUUCCUGGGGCACUUGCCAACUUUUACUGUGUCUGAUAUCACAUUACUGAGAAUGGAAAGCUAUAACAAUGCCCCAACCUCCUGAGAUAGGAGUCUUCAUGGAGCUGAACCAAUUACCUUUCUGGUCAUUUUCUUCAGCCCAACACACUUCCCUCAUGUGUAAGGUGACAUUUUCCGGUCCAUAGAGUUGCUGACCACACAAGUGAGGUUGGCAUUGGGCCUGCUCAGGUGCUGGCUCACGGGCAGACUCAGAGCCAGGGUCCAGGAGUUGGUGUCAGGUCCUGGUAUCUCUCUCUGAUUCAGGUUCUUGGGGAGGCCCUUGCUCUCCCAGGUCAUGUUCAGGUUCUUUGUGGCUCCUGUGGCCCUGCACUCCAGUGUGACAUUGCAUCAGCCUGGCGCGAUAGACCAUGACUUGGCCAGGAUCUGGGGGAGGGGGACAGACUCUGCGUAGGAGGGGAUGAAAGUAUUAUUAUUGUAUCUGCACAUUACUCAUCCCUUAUCUCAUUAAUUUCAUAACACCCUGCCAGGAAGGCAGGGCAUCUCACAGCUGAAGAAACUAAGGCUUGGUGAGGUGGAACCAUUUGCCCAAAGUCAUAUAAUGAGAAAGUGAUACAGAAUCCCAGGUUUAGAGAAGUUCAGGCAGCCAGAGUCUCUCAGUUCUCUCCACCACCUACACCCCAGCCUGUACCAUGCACAGCUAAAUUCACACCAGGUUCACACAAAGCCUCUGUCCCUCACAACCCCCACAGCACUUGGAGGGGAUCAUCAAACCUCUUGGGAAAAUACCUUCCAGGUACAGAAUUUACAAAGCAGUUUCUGAAAACUGGUUUUGAGACUCUUAAAGCUUUACCCACACUGAAGGCAUAAAAAGGCUCUUAUUUGGAGAUAAGAGAAUGUCUUUGGAUGGGUGCCUGCCCCUCACCUGAAGGUGGUGAAAACAGCUUUACUGGGACCAUUCAGAGAGCUUGACCUGUGUCCCUGCAGCUGGGGGAUGUGGUGGACUAGUGCCUGGCUCACACCUGAGAAAUAUAAAGGGAGAGAUGGUGCUGAAAUGGCAUAUGGUAGCAGAUAAGGAGCUGCUGGUGGGGAAGAACUUGCAUUGCCAAUGGUGGUAUGUGCUUUUCAUGAGGUAGAGGUAGGACACUUUUGAAAGGACUUUGUGAAGAGAGCAAUCUGGAGGGGCAAUAGAACCCCAACAGAGAGUGUCUGUGUGGAAGGGGACCAGCCAAGGACCAGGGCCCAAAGGGAAAGAUGUAAAUGACCAUCCUGAGAGUGUGUUACCUGUGACAAGGCAGGUGAGAGAUCCCCAGUGUGGGAGAGGGGUGUCUCCAGGGAACCUCUGGUAAUCCCCAUGGAAGAAAGAGUCAGAUUAAACAUAUCAGGCCCAGAGAACCCAACUGCUUGGUUAGCACAACAGUACUAGUCAAAGAAACCCUUACCUGUGCCCUCCAACCUCCCAUCCUCCUUGUGCUCCUCUCUUCCUCCCUGUCCUCCUGGAGUUGGGGGAGGGGCUUCCUGUCUUUGCUGUUCUCUAUAAUCCUUGUAGGCCUUUGCUAGGGAAUUUUGUCCUGGUCUUUGGGUAUCACUUUCUGCAUCUGCUGUAUCUGCCACUAACGUGACAGAUUUUGCUUAUCUCAGCAAGGGUUGGCAGCUGCUGCUGGAGCCCAUGGUCCCUGCUAUGGGCUCCAUGUUGAGCUCCAUGCACUCUGAGACUUCCUCUUUCUGACCUGAGUUGUCUUGUGGCCCAUGGUCCUCUUAGCACUUUGUUUCCUUAGUGGGGGCCCAUAAGACUAUCUGAAUCUCCCCAAUGUUGUGCACAGACUUGCGGGACUUGUAGUACUUCUAGAGGCUCCUUUUCUGCCUAAACACACCAUGCCCCAAUUUUUAUUCAGCAGAAGUCCUUGGGAGGAGGUAGUAUUUUGCCAGAUAAACAGUAAGCAGAACCUAAGCCCCUCUGUUUUUGUAUUUCCUCUCAACCUUCUGAUGGCACAGUGGUUAAAGUGCACAGCUGCUAACUGUAGGUUGGUUGUUGGAACCAAACAGCUGCUCCGUGGGAGAAAGAUGUGGCAGUCUGCUGCCAUAAAGAUUUAUAGCCUUCGAAACCAUAUGGGGCAGUUCUGCUCGGUCUUAUAGGGUUGCUAUGAGUUGGACUAGACUCAAAUAUGGUAGGUUUGGUUUUUUAGUGGGUUUGGCUUGCUCCCCAGCCCCUUCUGUUGAGAUGAUAGGGAAUGACUGUUUCGAGUCCCUGCCAAAUUUUAAUCAGAGUCUGAACCAUAAGGUAUAUUUUUAAUAAUCACUUAAUUCCACCCCCCGCCAUUUUCUCAUAUCUCAUGUCAUAACUGAUAUCUUUGUAGUUUGUGGCUUGUUGAGAGAGCUCUAUUCUCUGAGUCUGCAGUCUCUGGUUUUGGCACACACAAAUCUCUAUCUCUUUUUUUUCUAUCAAUGAAAUAUACUUUGCCUAUUUUGGAAGUCAAAAGAUGAACACUGAGUUCUGUAUUCUUAGCUGGAUUCUAGCCUCUGCCUGAAGCAAUAGCUGCCUCAGCCCCAAGUCUCGGAAGUUUUGGAAGAAAAAGAAUUUUACAGUUGAAACACACACACAACCAAUACUUUGAAAAGCUCCAUACAAGAAGGCACUUGAGCUGACUUAGGAAGCCUAUCAUACUCUUACCCACAAUAAUGCUUGAAAAAAAUAUAACAAAACAAACAAAAAAAUAACAAAGAAUGUUUUAAAUAUGGAACUGAUGUUCAGGAGAACUUAAGCCACAAAAACAAGAGGAAACUCAGUGCUAAAGGGGUCACUGACACCCCUAAAUGGGGAUGAGGUCUUGGCUGUGGCCUUGUACUUGUAGGGAUGUUGCACAAACCAAGAUAAGGGGCUAGGGUGAAUAUAGGAUGAGAAUAUUUCUGUCUUCUGGCCUGGAAAAUCAGCUUGGAAGGCUGCCACCUGCCCUGUACCAAGGGUGGAGUCUGUGAGAAGUCAGAAUCCCAGCCUGCACUAUGCAUGGGCAUGGGUGUGAAUUCUUACUACGUGCUGGAACUCUCAGCCCAGAAACUAGCCUAAAAAUAGAUGAAUCCUAUAGGGCCCUGCUGUUGUUAGCCACUGUUGAAUUGGUCCCUGAGUCAUAGAGUCUCCAUAUGCAACAGGCUUAGAUCAUUGUGAUCCACAGGGUUUUCAUUGACUGAUGUAUUGCCAAACCUUUCUUCCAAGCCUGUCUUAGUUUGGACGCUCUGCUGAAAUCUGUUCAGCAUCAUAUCAACACACAGACACUUGGGAGAUGUGCAUGAGCUGCACUGGCUGGGAUUAGAACCCAGCUAUCCCACACCGAAGGUGAGAAUUAUACCACUGAACCAUGAAUGACUCAACUAUAGGGCCCUAGCAGAGAAAAACACUGAGCUCACCCACUGGCACACGUCCACAUCUCAGGGAACAUGUGUGGGCUCUUGAAAGAAGCCAAAGGAAAAACAUUACUGAUCUACAAAGAAACAAGCAGAAGAAUUACAUCAGGCUUCUCUUCAGAAAUCAUGCAGGCAAAGAGAGUGCAGUGAAAUACUUAAAAUGCCAAAAGAAAAACCCAUCAACCAGGAAUUCUAUACUCAGCAAAAUGAUCCCUCAAAAGAAAAAACGUGAUAAGUUAGGGUUCAUUAAAGUCAAAAAUGUCUGCUCUGUAAAAGACUCUGUUGAAAGAAUGAAAAAACAAAACAAAACAACAACAAAAAAACACCAAGUCACAGAGUGGGAGAAAAUAUGUGGAAAACACACAUCUGAUAAAGGAUUUGUAUCCAAGACAUGCAAAGAACUUUUAAAACCCAACAAUAAGAAAUUAAACCACCCACUUACAAAAUGAGAAAAGAUCUGAACAGAAACCUCACCAGAUGAGAAAUAAGCUUACGAAAGAAUGCUAAACAUCUUAUGUCAUUGU